rnacentral:rRNA from 1 species
GAUGAACGCUAGCUACAGGCUUAACACAUGCAAGUCGCGGGGCAGCAUGGGGGUUGCUUGCAAUCCCCGAUGGCGACCGGCGCACGGGUGAGUAACGCGUAUUCAACCUGCCCUUCACCACGGGAUAACCCGGCGAAAGUCGGACUAAUACCGUAUGUUGUCCAUUGACGGCAUCCGAGUAGGACGAAAGGCUUGGCGAUGGGGGGUGGGGUUGCAUCCGAUUAGCCAGACGGCGGGGUAGCGGCGCACCGUGGCUGCGAUCGGUAGGGGUUCUGAGGGGAAGGUCCCCCACACUGGAACUGAGACACGGGCCAGACUCCUACGGGAGGCAGCAGUGAGGAAUAUUGGUCAAUGGGCGUAAGCCUGAACCAGCCAAGUAGCGUGCAGGAUGACGGCCCUAUGGGUUGUAAACUGCUUUUAUGCGGGGAUAAAGUGGCCCACGUGUGGGCUUUUGCAGGUACCGCAUGAAUAAGAACCGGCUAAUUCCGUG